rnacentral:rRNA from 1 species
GUCCACGCUGUAAAACGUUGCGAACUAGGUGUCGGGGGUAUUCACCCCUCCGGUGCCGAAGCUAACGUCUUAAGUUCGCCGCCUGGGAAGUACGGCCGCAAGGCUAAAACUCAAAGGAAUUGACGGGGGCCCGCACAAGCGGUGGAGCAUGUGGUUCAAUUCGAUGCAACGCGAAGAACCUUACCUGGGCUUGACAUCCCGAGAAUCCCUCAGAAAUGAGGGAGUGCCCGUAAGGGAACUCGGAGACAGGUGCUGCAUGGCUGUCGU